rnacentral:lncRNA from 1 species
GAUUUUGGAGGUGCCACAGUUGGGAAUCUGAAGCUCCAAGGAUGGGGAUGAGAGAGAGCAGUUGUUGUAAAAGAAAAAGAAUCUCAGGAAAGACUGAGUGUCUACUGUGUGCUCUCUGAGGCCAGUUGUUGAAGAAGGGUGACAGCAAAUGAAGGCAGGUUUGGAGGCCAAAAGUCCAAAAUCUGUAUGUAUCUCAGGGCUGAGAUGAGGGGGCAGAUGCCAAAUCCGCAGAUACGGAACCGCGAAUAUGGAGGGUCGACCGAGAGACUUGAGCAUGCACGAUUAUGGUAUCCCCCAGGGUCCUGAAACCAAUCUCCUGCGUAUGCCGAGAGACGGCUGUACUAGGAGGAGAGAGACCUGCCCCUAAAUUUGAAACGAUGGACAACUUGACCCUGAAAAAGCCUUGCUGUAAUUGAAAAUCCUGUUUGCUGUCCAAAGGGUGAGUGGUUUGUAACUAAUGAAACACCACCAAGAGUAGAAGCAACUUAUAUACCAAGAACAUUUGGAUUUGUAGAAGUUUUCGACACAUAGACUUCACUACAGUGCAAAUUUAUAACCCAAGCGAAGCAAGAAACUGAAUUACUUAUUUGUCUAGGCAAGUCAAAUCAACAAUUUAAUUCUAAAAACCAGUAAUUUGGAGCUGAUGUGUUCACACAAGAUCCUAUGUAUGUAGAUGUGUUACAUUCUCUGCAUGGAACCUACUUAUAUAAAUUAGGCUGCAUAGAUUAUCUUGCUAUUUUAUUAUUAUUACUUUAAUUCUGAGAUUCCUCAAAAUUUUCUUUACUAAAUUUGAAUCUAAAUUCUUUUAGCUCUUUAAAAUAUAACUGAAGCUUUCAUAGUAUCAUCACAGAGAGCAUUAUUUGAAAGCCUAAAAAUUUAGUUCAGUCAUUUCAAAAGAAGAUUUUAAUGGGGACUUAUUUCUUGGUAAAUUUGACAUUCUGAAAUAGAAACUAUUUUAACAUUUUUCAUGAGUCUCAAGUGGUAUAAUGUCAGGGGUGCCAUUCAGGUAUUUGUGUGGUCAAAACUUCAGGUUGCUUAUGGAGACCUGAGGACUAUUUUAAAAAAUAAAUCUUUUCAAGAAUAAUCUACUGUCA